rnacentral:rRNA from 1 species
GACGAACGCUGGCGGCGUGCCUAACACAUGCAAGUCGAACGGAGAAUUUUAUUUCGGUAGAAUUCUUAGUGGCGAACGGGUGAGUAACGCGUAGGCAACCUGCCCUUUAGACGGGGACAACAUUCCGAAAGGAGUGCUAAUACCGGAUGUGAUCAUCUUGCCGCAUGGCAGGAUGACGAAAGAUGGCCUCUACAAGUAAGCUACCGCUACAGGAUGGGCCUGCGUCUGAUUAGCUAGUUGGUAGUGUAACGGAAUACCAAGGCUAUGACCAGUAGCCGGUCUGAGAGGAUGAACGGCCACAUUGGGACUGAGACACGGCCCAAACACCUACGGGAGGCAGCAGUGGGGAAUCUUCCGCAAUGGACGAAAGUCUGACGGAGCAACGCCGCGUGAGUGAUGAAGGAUUUCGGUCUGUAAAGCUCUGUUGUUUAUGACGAACGUGCAGUGUGUGAACAAUGCAUUGCAAUGACGGUAGUAAACGAGGAAGCCACGGCUAACUACGUGCCAGCCGCCGCCGUAA